UACGGGGGGGGCAAGCGUUGUUCGGAAUUACUGGGCGUAAAGGGCUCGUAGGUGGCCAACUAAGUCAGACGUGAAAUCCCUCGGCUUAACCGGGGAACUGCGUCUGAUACUGGAUGGCUUGAGUUUGGGAGAGGGACGCGGAAUUCCAGGUGUAGCGGUGAAAUGCGUAGAUAUCUGGAGGAACACCGGUGGCGAAGGCGGCGUCCUGGACCACACUGGACAACUGAGGAGCGAAAGCCAGGGGAGACAAACGGG
rnacentral:rRNA from 1 species